rnacentral:rRNA from 1 species
AGUGUAGGCGGUCCGCCAAGUCAGCUGUGAAAUCUCCCGGCUCAACCGGGAGGGUGCGGCUGAAACUGGCGGACUCGAGUCCGGGAGAGGAGAGUGGAAUUCCUGGUGUAGCGGUGAAAUGCGUAGAUAUCAGGAGGAACAUCGGUGGUGAAGACGGCUCUCUGGACCGGUACUGACGCUGAGACUCGAAAGCGUGGGGAGCAAACA